rnacentral:rRNA from 1 species
CGGGGCCUACGGGACGCAGCAGUGGGGAAUAUUGCGCAAUGGGGGAAACCCUGACGCAGCAACGCCGCGUGCGGGAUGAAGGCUUUCGGGUUGUAAACCGCUUUCAGCAGGGAAGAUAAUGACGGUACCCAAGGAGGAAGCACCGGCUAACUACGUGCCAGCAGCCGCGGUAAAACGUAGGGUGCAAGCGUUGUCCGGAAUUACUGGGUGUAAAGGGAGCGCAGGCGGAUUGACAAGUUGGGAGUGAAAACUACGGGCUCAACCCGUAACCUGCUUUCAAAACUGUCAGUCUUGAGUGGUGUAGA